rnacentral:rRNA from 1 species
UGGGGAAUCUUCCGCAAUGGACGAAAGUCUGACGGAGCAACGCCGCGUGAGUGAAGAAGGCCUUCGGGUUGUAAAGCUCUGUUAUUCGGGAAGAACGAUUCGUUUGUGAACAAUGAACGGAAGUGACGGUACCGAAAGAGAAAGCCACGGCUAACUACGUGCCAGCAGCCGCGGUAAUACGUAGGUGGCAUGCGUUGUCCGGAAUUAUUGGGCGUAAAGAGCGCGUAGGCGGUAUGAUAAGUCUGUCUUAGAAGUGCGGGGCUUAACCCCGUGAGGGGACAGAGACUGUCAUACUAGAGUCUCAGAGAGGAAAGCGGAAUUCCUAGUGUAGCGGUGAAAUGCGUAGAGAUUAGGAAGAACACCGGUGGCGAAGGCGGCUUUCUGGACGAGCACUGACGCUGAGGCGCGAAAGCGUGGGGAGCGAACAGG